CCUACGGGAGGCAGCAGUAGGGAAUAUUGGUCAAUGGGGGCAACCCUGAACCAGCCAUGCCGCGUGCAGGAAUAAGGCCCUAUGGGUCGUAAACUGCUUUUGAACGGGAAGAAACCUAUUUACGUGUAGAUAGUUGACGGUACCGUUAGAAUAAGGAUCGGCUAACUUCGUGCCAGCAGCCGCGGUAAUACGAAGGAUCCAAGCGUUGUCCGGAUUUACUGGGUUUAAAGGGUGCGUAGGCGGACUCAUAAGUCAGUGGUGAAAGCCUUCAGCUUAACUGAAGAACUGCCAUUGAAACUGUGGGUCUCGAGUUCGGUUGAGGUCAUUGGAAUGUAACAUGUAGCGGUGAAAUGCUAUAGAUAUGUUACAGAACACCGAUUGCGAAGGCAGAUGACUAAACCGAAACUGACGCUGAGGCACGAAAGCGUGGGGAUCAAACAGGAUUAGAUACCCUGGUAGUCCACGCCCUAAACGAUGAAUACUCGACCUUAGCGAUAUACAGUUAGGGUCCAAGCGAAAGCGUUAAGUAUUCACCUGGAAGUACGUUCGCAAGAUGAAACUCAAGGAAUUGACGGNUGNGAGNGCGAGNGNAGAGGAGAG
rnacentral:rRNA from 1 species